rnacentral:tRNA from 1 species
UAUGUUUUAGUAUACGAUGUACAAAAGCUUUUGAUGCUUUUAGAGAUAGUUUAAUUCUAUUAAAUAUAA